GACGAACGCUGGCGGCGUGCUUAACACAUGCAAGUCGAACGGAAAGGCCCUGCUUUUGUGGCGUGCUCGAGUGGCGAACGGGUGAGUAACACGUGAGUAACCUGCCCUUGACUUUGGGGUAACUUCAGGAAACUGGGGCUAAUACCGGAUAGGAGCUCCUGCUGCAUGGUGGGGGUUGGAAAGUUUCGGCGGUUGGGGAUGGACUCGCGGCUUAUCGGCUUGUUGGUGGGGUAGUGGCUUACCAAGGCUUUGACGGGUAGCCGGCCUGAGAGGGUGACCGGCCACAUUGGGACUGAGAUACGGCCCAGACUCCUACGGGAGGCAGCAGUGGGGAAUAUGGCGCAAUGGGCGGAAGCCUGAUGCAGCAACGCCGCGUGCGGGAUGACGGCCUUCGGGUUGUAAACCGCUUUCGCAUGUGACGAAGCGUGAGUGACGGUAAUGGGUAAAGAAGCACCGGCUAACUACGUG
rnacentral:rRNA from 1 species